rnacentral:rRNA from 1 species
GGACUACUAGGGUUUCUAAUCCUGUUUGCUCCCCUAGCUUUCGCAGCUCAGCGUCAGUGAUGGCCCAGUAACCUGCCUUCGCCAUAGGUAUUCCUCCCGAUAUCUACGCAUUUCACCGCUACACCGGGAAUUCCAGUUACCCCUACCACACUCAAGUCAGACAGUAUUCCUUGGCCUCUCCCAGUUAAGCCGGGAGCUUUCACAAGAAACUUAUCCAACCGCCUACCUGCGCUUUACGCCUAGUGAUUCCGAGUAACGCUUGCCACCUACGUAUUACCGCGGCUGCUGGCAC